GCCUGGAUGUAAACCUUUAUUUACACACCCAUCGCCCGGAUAUUACAAGCUACGCUUAAAAACCAAAGGACUUGACGGUAUCUCACACCCCACUAGAGGAGCCUGUCGCACAAUCGAUAAUCCCCGCUAAACCUCACCUCUCUUAGCUUAUCAGCCUGUAUACUUCCGUCGUAGCCUAUCAUAUGAAUGAACCUUAAUAAGCCAAUGACUCAUACGUCAGGUCAAAGUGCAGCCAAUAGAGUGGAAGCAGAUGGGCUACAUUUUCUAAAUUAGACUAUACGAAAGAUUAAAUGAAAUAAAAUCAGAAGGUGGAUUUAGUAGUAAGUGUAAAACAGAGAGCUACCCUUAAUAUAGGCACCGAGAUGUGUACAAACCGCCCGUCACCCUCUUCAGUACAAACGAUAGUAUUUAACACCACUAAAACUACAGAGGAGGCAAGUCGUAACAUGGUAAGAGUACCGGAAGGUGCCCUUGGAAACGAAACAUAGCUUAAUAAAAGCCCUUCGCUUACACCGAAAAAAUGUCUAUAACAAGACUGUUUCGAGCUAAAAACCUAGCUUAUUCAUUUGUAAAAUAAAAUAUUCUUCUAUUCCAGUACAGAUGAUUGAAAAACUCCUACGUAGCGAUAUACUGUACCGCAAGGGAGGUGAAAUAUAUUAAACAAGCACCAUAAAGUAGAGGCCAACCCUCGUACCUUUUGCAUCAUGGUUUAACUAGUCUAAUCAGGCAAAAAGUCUUAAAGUCUGCCCCCCCGAAGCUAAGUGAGCUAUUUAAGAACAGCCCAUGAGCCAACCCAUCCCUGUUGCAAAAGGGUGG
rnacentral:rRNA from 1 species